GUAGUCAUAUGCUUGUCUCAAAGAUUAAGCCAUGCAUGUCUAAGUAUAAGCAACUUGUACUGUGAAACUGCGAAUGGCUCAUUAAAUCAGUUAUCGUUUAUUUGAUAGUACCUUACUACAUGGAUACCUGUGGUAAUUCUAGAGCUAAUACAUGCUAAAAACCCCGACUUCAGGAAGGGGUGUAUUUAUUAGAUAAAAACCAACGCCCUUCGGGGCUCCUUGGUGAAUCAUAAUAACUUAACGAAUCGCAUGGCCUUGCGCCGGCGAUGGUUCAUUCAAAUUUCUGCCCUAUCAACUUUCGAUGGUAGGAUAGUGGCCUACCAUGGUGGCAACGGGUAACGGGGAAUUAGGGUUCGAUUCCGGAGAGGGAGCCUGAGAAACGGCUACCACAUCCAAGGAAGGCAGCAGGCGCGCAAAUUACCCAAUCCCGAUACGGGGAGGUAGUGACAAUAAAUACUGAUACGGGGCUCUUUUGGGUCUUGUAAUCGGAAUGAGUACAAUUUAAAUCCCUCAACGAGAA
rnacentral:rRNA from 1 species